UUCCUUCCUUCCUUCCUUCCUUCCUUCCUUCCUUCCUUCUUCUCUUUAUUUCUUUCCCUCAGUAUAAUGCAUUUUCCUAUACCGUUUUGUAGAAAGACAGUAGAAUAUAGUAGUCCAAUAUAGACUCUGGAUCUAGGCACCUGACUUCAAAUCCUGGUGCUACCACUUCCUUUCUGGUGACCUGAUUCAAGUUACUAAACACCCUCUGUGCUAUAGUGACUUCUACCUUACCGAGUGAAGAUAAAAUAUGCCUGUCUGACAAGACUGCAGAGAGGAUUAAAAUGAAUCAGUUCAUGUAAAAGCAACGAGUGGCAUAAGGUUACACUUUCCACUAGGAAUAUGAUGGGGUGCAAUUCAGAGUUUUUGGCUUUUCUUGAUAGCUUCUGGGAUUAACAGAUCACCAACAUCUCCAAUCUCCAUCUGGUAGAAUUGAGAGGAGGAGGAGGAAGAUGAGGAGGAGGAGGAGAAGGAAAAGAAGUCGUUCUUAAGACUUGAACUGAAACACUGGCUCCUCUUGGGUCUUCAGCCUGCUGGCUUUCGGACUGGAACUACACCACCACUGCUGAUUCUCCAAUUUGCUGACUGCAGAUCUUGAGAUCACCUCCACAACGCUAAGGGGAUCCCGCCUCUCCAUUCCUCCACUGCCGGUUUUCUCUCUCCCAGUUCUCAAUCAUGAACCUAUGGCCCACCAGUUUGUCCCAGUGGGUCCCUGGAGGCGUCUCUGUCACUUUGCUGCCUGGACUCUUGGAGUUCAAAGUUCCUUUGGCCUCAACACUGCUGUGUUUGCAAGAGGAGGGACCUUCAUAUCCCCCUACUUCUUCGCCAUGUUGGAUCCCUCUGGCACUCAAGCUCUUAUCCCAAGUAUUUGAGUUCUAACCCCAGAUGGCUGAAUCAUCAAGUGCAUUGGUUGGUGCCUUGCAAAUUAGACUGACAGAAGACAGAUUAACAGGU